rnacentral:rRNA from 1 species
AGGAUAAACGCUGGCGGCGUGCCUUACGCAUGCAAGUCGAACGGGGGGCUUCGGCCCCCAGUGGCGGACGGGUGAGGAACACGUACGUGACCUAACGCCGAGUGGGGGAUACCCGCCCGAAAGGGCGGCUAAGACCGCAUAGCCUCCCCGGGGGUGCUCGGGGAGGAAAGGCAGCGAUGUCGCUGGGUGAGGGGCGUGCGGCCGAUUAGCUAGCUGGUGGGGUAACGGCCUACCAGGGCGACGAUCGGUAGCU